rnacentral:rRNA from 1 species
AGAGUUUGAUCAUGGCUCAGAUUGAACGCUGGCGGCAUGCCUUACACAUGCAAGUCGAACGGUAACAGGUCUUCGGAUGCUGACGAGUGGCGAACGGGUGAGUAAUACAUCGGAACGUGCCCAAUCGUGGGGGAUAACACAUCGAAAGAUGUGCUAAUACCGCAUAAGAUCUACGGAUGAAAGCGGGGGAUCGCAAGACCUCGCGCGAAUGGAGCGGCCGAUGGCAGAUUAGGUAGUUGGUAGGGUAAAAGCCUACCAAGCCGACGAUCUGUAGCUGGUCUGAGAGGACGACCAGCCACACUGGGACUGAGACACGGCCCAGACUCCUACGGGAGGCAGCAGUGGGGAAUUUUGGACAAUGGGCGCAAGCCUGAUCCAGCAAUGCCGCGUGCAGGAUGAAGGCCUUCGGGUUGUAAACUGCUUUUGUACGGAGCGAAAAGGUUUUCUCUAAUACAGAAGGCCCAUGACGGUACCGUAAGAAUAAGCACCGGCUAACUACGUGCCAGCAGCCGCGGUAAUACGUAGGGUGCAAGCGUUAAUCGGAAUUACUGGGCGUAAAGCGUGCGCAGGCGGUGUUGUAAGACAGAGGUGAAAUCCCCGGGCUCAACCUGGGAACUGCCUUUGUGACUGCAACGCUAGAGUACGGCAGAGGGGGAUGGAAUUCCGCGUGUAGCAGUGAAAUGCGUAGAUAUGCGGAGGAACACCGAUGGCGAAGGCAAUCCCCUGGGCCUGUACUGACGCUCAUGCGCGAAAGCGUGGGGAGCAAACAGGAUUAGAUACCCCGGUAGU